AGAGUUUGAUCCUGGCUCAGAUUGAACGCUGGCGGCAGGCCUAACACAUGCAAGUCGAGCGGCAGCGGGAAAGUAGCUUGCUACUUUUGCCGGCGAGCGGCGGACGGGUGAGUAAUGUCUGGGAAACUGCCCGAUGGAGGGGGAUAACUACUGGAAACGGUAGCUAAUACCGCAUAAUGUCGCAAGACCAAAGAGGGGGACCUUCGGGCCUCUUGCCAUCGGAUGUGCCCAGAUGGGAUUAGCUUGUAGGUAAGGUAACGGCUUACCUAGGCGACGAUCCCUAGCUGGUCUGAGAGGAUGAUCAGCCACACUGGGACUGAGACACGGCCCAGACUCCUACGGGAGGCAGCAGUGGGGAAUAUUGCACAAUGGGCGCAAGCCUGAUGCAGCCAUGCCGCGUGUAUGAAGAAGGCCUUCGGGUUGUAAAGUACUUUCAGCGGGGAGGAAGGGGUUAAGGUUAAUAACCUUAGCCAUUGACGUUACCCGCAGAAGAAGCACCGGCUAACUCCGUGCCAGCCGCCGCGGUAAUAC
rnacentral:rRNA from 1 species